rnacentral:tRNA from 1 species
GGAGAGGUGGCAGAGCGGUUGAAUGCGGCGGUCUCGAAAACCGUUAUGUCGGUAAUCCCGGCAUCGGGGGUUCGAAUCCCCCCCUCUCCGCCG